rnacentral:rRNA from 1 species
AUUGAACGCUGGCGGCGUGCUUUACACAUGCAAGUCGAACGGUAACAGGGAGCUUGCUCCGCUGACGAGUGGCGAACGGGUGAGUAAUGCGUCGGAACGUGCCGAGUAGUGGGGGAUAACGCAGCGAAAGUUGUGCUAAUACCGCAUACGUACUGAGGUAGAAAGUGGGGGACCUUCGGGCCUCACGCUAUUCGAGCGGCCGACGUCUGAUUAGCUAGUAGGUGAGGUAAAGGCUCACCUAGGCGACGAUCAGUAGCGGGUCUGAGAGGAUGAGCCGCCACACUGGGACUGAGACACGGCCCAGACUCCUACGGGGGGCAGUAGUGGGGAAUUUUGGACAGUGGGCGAAAGCCUGAUCCAGCCAUGCCGCGUGUCUGAAGAAGGCCUUCGGGUUGUAAAGGACUUUUGUCGGGGAGGAAAUCCCCAGCGCUAAUACCGCUGGGGGAUGACAGUACCUGAAGAAUAAGCACCGGCUAACUACGUGCCAGCCGCCGCCGUAACAC